rnacentral:rRNA from 1 species
UACGUAGGGUGCGAGCGUUGUCCGGAAUUAUUGGGCGUAAAGAGCGUGUAGGCGGCCAGGUAGGUCGGUUGUGAAAACUCGAGGCUCAACCUCGAGAUGUCGACCGAAACCAUCUGGCUAGAGUCCGGAAGAGGAGAAUGGAAUUCCCGGUGUAGCGGUGAAAUGCGCAGAUAUCGGGAAGAACACCCGUGGCGAAGGCGGUUCUCUGGGACGGUACUGACGCUGAGGCGCGAAAGCGUGGGGAGCGAACAGG